rnacentral:rRNA from 1 species
AUGCAUGGGCGAGCCUGAUGCAGCGACGCCGCGUGAGGGAUGACGGCCUUCGGGUUGUAAACCUCUUUCAGCAGGGAAGAAGCGAAAGUGACGGUACCUGCAGAAGAAGCGCCGGCUAACUACGUGCCAGCAGCCGCGGUAAUACGUAGGGCGCGAGCGUUGUCCGGAAUUAUUGGGCGUAAAGAGCUCGUAGGCGGCUUGUCGCGUCGGUUGUGAAAGCCCGGGGCUUAACCCCGGGUCUGCAGUCGAUACGGGCAGGCUAGAGUUCGGUAGGGGAGAUCGGAAUUCCUGGUGUAGCGGUGAAAUGCGCAGAUAUCAGGAGGAACACCGGUGGCGAAGGCGGAUCUCUGGGCCGAUACUGACGCUGAGGAGCGAAAGCGUGGGGAGCGAACAGGAUUAGAUACCCUGGUAGUCCACGCCGUAAACGGUGGGCACUAGGUGUGGGCGACAUUCCACGUCGUCCGUGCCGCAGCUAACGCAUUAAGUGCCCCGCCUGGGGAGUACGGCCGCAAGGCUAAAACUCAAAUGAAAUUGACGGA